UACACUCCUGCGGGAGGCAGCAGUGGGGAAUUUUGGCCAAUGGGCGAAAGCCUGAUCCAGCAAUGCCGCGUGAGUGAAGAAGGCCUUCGGGUUGUAAAGCUCUUUUGUCAGGGAAGAAACGGUGAGAGCUAAUAUCUCUUGCUAAUGACGGUACCUGAAGAAUAAGCACAGGCUAACUACGUGCCAGCAGCCGCGGUAAUACGUAGGGUGCAAGCGUUAAUCGGAAUUACUGGGCGUAAAGCGUGCGCAGGCGGUUUUGUAAGUCUGAUGUGAAAUCCCCGGGCUCAACCUGGGAAUUGCAUUGGAGACUGCAAGGCUAGAAUCUGGCAGAGGGGGGUAGAAUUCCACGUGUAGCAGUGAAAUGCGUAGAUAUGUGGAGGAACACCGAUGGCGAAGGCAGCCCCCUGGGUCAAGAUUGACGCUCAUGCACGAAAGCGUGGGGAGCAAACAGGAUUAGAAACCCCAGUAGUCCCAUG
rnacentral:rRNA from 1 species